UACGUAGGGUGCAAGCGUUAAUCGGAAUUACUGGGCGUAAAGCGUGCGCAGGCGGUGAUGUAAGACAGUUGUGAAAUCCCCGGGCUCAACCUGGGAACUGCAUCUGUGACUGCAUCGCUGGAGUACGGUAGAGGGGGAUGGAAUUCCGCGUGUAGCAGUGAAAUGCGUAGAUAUGCGGAGGAACACCGAUGGCGAGGGCAAUCCCCUGGACCUGUACUGACGCUCAUGCACGAAAGCGUGGGGAGCAAACAGG
rnacentral:rRNA from 1 species